GUCCCUGUAGCGCUAUGGAUAGCCUGUUGAACUUCUAAUUCAAAGGUCGUGGGUUCGAAUCCCACCUGGGUUG
rnacentral:tRNA from 1 species